GGAGAGGUGGCCGAGCGGCUUAUGGCGCUGGUCUUGAAAACCAGUGUGGCAGCAAUGUCAUCGGGGGUUCGAAUCCCUCCCUCUCCG
rnacentral:tRNA from 1 species